AAAUACCUCGACUGAGUUAAUGAAUGGCAAUGGAGCUCUUUCUCCAUGUACACUAGUUACCCUUAGAGACCACUUCGCAUAUUUUCUCUCUGCAAAAGCACCAAGUAAAACUACAAAUUGAACAUACUUGUUGAAUGGAUGAACGUCAAUUGGAUGAAAGUUAAAAGACCAAAACUAAUCACUGUGCUAUUGUUUAUAGAACUUUAUUAACAGAAUGAAGUAAUUACAACAGUAUUUCUCUUUCUUCACAAAGCAGUUUACAAAUUAUUGAGUCAGUUCAUCUAAAAGCUUAAGGUGUCAAAUGGCACACGUUUAUCAUUUAUAUAUUAUCUUCAUCACAAAUAUUUUCAUUGGGGGAUAGAAGAAAUAUUACAUAAUAUGUAUGGAAUAAGCAGCCAAAAAUAGAUGCAAUGAAUGAUCCAUACUGGAAUUAUAGGUGUAAGGCAUCUGGGGUAUUCUAAUUGCUAAGAAUUGGUGGAAACAAGUGGGAAUUAGAAGCUCUAGAGCUUAUUUUCGCUCUGAUUAACAAUCACCUCCGUACUACACGAGCUUUUUACAACCCUGAUAAUUAAUAAGGAGGUAUAUGACGAGAAAAAAGAAAAAUGAAUAAUGUACGACUGCCAUUCUCCCUUCACUCUUGCUAUAGUGUAAAAAUCACUUUCUCUUAAAUACCAUCAUGGUUUCCACUGGCCCAUACUCCAUAUCCAUUUCACCCUUCAAAUACAGCUCAGCACAAGCACCUAAUUUACAAAACAGUCCACCAUCACAAUCCUUAUACCAAAUUUUUGCUCUUUCCAAAACCUCUCUCUCUUCACUGUGAUCAUAACCAUGCACUCCACCAUGUUGGCAUGAUAGCGAGUGCUACAAAGAGAGGGCCUUCUGUUCAGUUUCAACAUUAGGCAAUCAAACUCUGCCCAAAAUUAAUUUCACUAGUUUAUAAACCCCUCCUAGAGCAAAAUGAUUUAGCCAGUCAACGGAAACCUUCCUCCCCAGUCCCUCACUUAUUUCCUUUAACUUCAAAGCAAUUGCAAAUAAAGCAUUAUCAGAAGCAGAAAUGUCUGUGUCUUGAAGUAUAGACUGUCGUGCAUCUUAGUCUUCACUUCACCAACUCAGGAAAUUGUAACUUCUAAUAUCAUAGUAUGGUACGGAACGAUGAGAAUUGGAUAGAACUCUCAUAUAUUGAUUUAGGAUUAUGGACGUGACGUGGAUAGUAUUUUCAGUUGGUGGUGUUGGAAAAACCUGGUGGUUACAUUGAUAAUGGUUUUGGAGGCAAAAUUGGUGGUCGGUGAUGGGUCGGAGUGAUGGAGAUACAGAUAAAGAUAGAAUAGAAUUAGAAGUUAGAUAGAACUUUAAAAUAAGAGUUUAAUUCAUAUUGUGAAUGUUUAGAUUAGAUUUAGUUAGGUAUAAAGUUAUAACUAAUUAUUAGUUCUUCUAGUUUUAGUUAUUUGCUUUCUAUGUAGAGGGGUAAAUUCAUUGUAAUAUUCAACUCUUGAUUAUAUGAAUAAAUGGAUAUCUUCUUUUGCCUUCAAUUCUUCUCUUCUUUGCACCUCUUUCUUUUCUUAAUCUUCACUUGUUCGUUGUCAAGCAACUAAUCUAAAACUAAAAGAACUUCAAAUAAGCUAUAACUUUAUAACAAUAUUAAACCUAACUGAAUAUAAUCUAAACAAUCAUAAUAUCUAACUUCUAAUUCUAUUUUAUGUGAAUCUGUAUCUCCAUCAGGGAGUGAUGCAAAUUUUGUAGUUCGCAAGUGAUACAGGUCAAUUUGGUAGAGCAACAGUGAAUUUAGAGGUAGGGUUGACAGGGGGUCAUUGCAGUGGUAAUAGUACUGUGCAGUUGAGUAAGUGGAGGAAGUGAGACUUUAUGAAAAAGAUGUUCCUAAUUUGAGUAAUAUAAUUGUUAAAAUGAAAAAGGCUCGCAAAAGCGUGUGCAUUUGGAAUAAGUAUUUGAAAUAAACUCAAAUUGGAAAGCAAGACAUUUGAACUUGAAUUGACGAGAGUACCAUUUUUGAGUUGUCAUGGACUUGUCAUAAUAGUCUAAUGUGAGUGGAC
rnacentral:lncRNA from 1 species